ensembl:lncRNA
CUAUUUUUUUUUUUUAAUGCUUCCUUGAGACCUCUGUACACAAUCUCUCCAUUGCUGUAGUCACAACAUAGCUUUAUAUCUGCUCUUGUGUCUCCUCUAGGCAGUAGGUUCCUUGAGGGCAGAGACCAGGCCUCUUCACCUUGGCAUCAUUACUGCCCUGUAUCAUCCCUGACUCAUUGGAAGAGAGCUGACUUAUUGGGAAAAAAAAAACAAAAAAAACCAAAAAACCUGAUGCUGAGAAAGAUAGAAGGUGUGGGAGAAAGGGAUGACAGAGGACCAGAUGUUUGGACGGCAUCACCGACUCAAUGGACAUAAGUUUAAGCAAGCUCUGGGAGAUGGUAAAGGACAGGGAGGCCUGGCAUGCUGCAGUCCGUGGGGUCACAAAGAGCUGGACAUGACUGAGCGGCUGAACAACCACAAAUCAUCCCUGACAGAUAGCAGCCCUUGUCUAUGUGCAGACAUGAGAUUUUUGCAAUCAGUGAAGAUAUGGUUUUGUGUCAAGACUUUACCACACACAGUUUACUUUGCUGACAGAUUCUCCAAACUUCCAACACAAACAGAACAGUGUUUUCUUGCCUCUGGAGUCCUUGAGCAAUGUUUGGCUGAGAGACCCAUGAGAGGAGUGUUACAAGUGUGAUCUCGGCAGGCUGGGUGCCUAGGACUGCCUCCUUCCUGCACCGGCUCUCCAGCCUGGGCCCACGGCCAAGAGCACCAGAGUUCACCAGAAAGACAAACACUGAGACGCUCCCCAAACACUUGGACUUUAAUUUGCUUCAUGAAAUGCCAGGUUAUUUUCUUUUUCUGGCAGAAUUGGUUGCGCCUCCUCCAAUCUCACAGUCCUGCUCCUGGUAGCAGUUUUCUCGGAAUCUCACCAGUUCAAUUUCAUCUAUCUAUCUAUCUAUCUAUGCAUGCUGUGGUUGUAUCUGCUGUUGCUGCUCCUAAGUCACUUCAGUCGUGUCCGACUCUGUGCGACCCUAUAGAUGGCAGCUCACCAGGCUCCCCCAUCCCUGGGAUUCUCCAGGCAAGAAUACUGGAGUGGGUUGCCAUUUCCUUCUCCAAUGCAUGAAAGUAAAAAGUGAAAGUGAAGUAGCUCAGUCGUGCCUGACUCAGCGACCCCAUGGACUGAAGCCACCAGGAUCCUCCAUCCAUGGGAUUUUCCAGGCAAGAGUACUGCAGUGGGGUGCCAUUGCCUUCUCCGUGGCUGUAUCUACCUAUGUAUAUAUGUGUCCAUAACUAGCUAUUGAGUAUAUCUAGCUAUAUGUGUUUGUAUAUGUGUUGUAAUCUAUAUAUGUGUGUAUAUACAUAUAUUGCUGUAUAUAUGCAAGGUGUAUAUUCUGUGUGUUCUCUGUAUAAAUAUACUGGUAUUAUAAUAUGUUGCAGAUUAUGUAUUGUAGCAAUAUAUAUUGUGUAUGUUCCCUCUCUGUCAUGUCUGACUCUUUGCAACCCUGUGGACUGUAGCCCAUGAGACUCCUCUGUGCAUGGGAUUUCCCAGGCAAGAAUACUGGGGUGCGUUGAAACACGAGAUGGAUGAUGGCAGUUCUCUGCUGAAACUCUGCUGUGGCUACCCAUGUCACUAAAUAAAAGAAGAAAUCCUACCA